GACAGAAACCUCGGUGGAAGAUUACUAAUGAGAGUGGCGAACGGGUGAGCAACGCGUGAGCAACCUGCCUAUGACAGUGGGAUAGCCUCGGGAAACCGGGAUUAAUACCGCAUAAAAUCGUAGAAACACAUGUUUUAACGGUCAAAGAUUUAUCGGUCAUAGAUGGGCUCGCGUCUGAUUAGCUAGUUGGUGAGAUAACAGCCCACCAAGGCGACGAUCAGUAGCCGGUCUGAGAGGAUGAACGGCCACAUUGGAACUGAGACACGGUCCAAACUCCUACGGGAGGCAGCAGUGGGGAAUAUUGCACAAUGGGGGAAACCCUGAUGCAGCGACGCCGCGUGAACGAAGAAGGUAUUCGUAUCGUAAAGUUCUGUCCUAUGGGAAGAUAAUGACAGUACCAUAGAAGAAAGCUCCGGCUAAAUACGUGCCAGCAGCCGCGGUAAUACGUAUGGAGCGAGCGUUGUCCGGAAUUAUUGGGCGUAAAGGGUACGCAGGCGGUUUAAUAAGUCGAAUGUUAAAGAUCGGGGCUCAACCCCGUAAAGCAUUGGAAACUGAUAAACUUG
rnacentral:rRNA from 1 species